GGUCUGCAACGUAUAGUGACCUUGGUGGUGAUAGUCAUGGUUUUUGAGCUAUCAUUUAUGUUGGUUUUAUAAUUUAUAAAAAAUAUUUUUUUUGAAAUUUCUGAUUACCUCUUUUAACUAGCUGAAAAUACGAUAUGACUUACCUUUUAUCAGACUCCAUCAACUCUAGCGACUACACGGUGGAAUGCCUUAUUAUCGACGUUGCAAUUGAUCUUGUCUUAAUGAAUUAAAAGUAUCGUAAGUUCGCAAGUGGUAGAGUGGUAGUAAUUAAAUUCUACACCAAAAUAGAUGAAAACAUAAACAUCAUUAGCCCGAUAAAUAUGAUAUGCCAACCUCUCAAAAGGAUAUGUCACAAUCCUUGUAAUAUGUAAACUAAGAACCAAAAUAAACCGACAAUUUUCGGUGGCUGCAACUGUUCUAAUAAGGUAAAAGAAUCAAUCAUCUCGGUCUAUAUAAUACCCUCCUAGUUAAGUCAUUUCUAAAGAAGCAAGCUAGAGAAAUUAUUAAGCUAAGAAGAGGAAUUGGAGAAGGAAUAAUAAAUGGAAGACAACCAAAGGAAAGGUUUAUUUUUAGCAAUUCUGAUAAUGAUGAUGGUGAUGGUGAGCACCAACAAUCACUACUGUGUAGGUGCCUUAGUAGAGAAGACGAAGAGCUCAAGCUCACACUGCAGUGGCUCAAUUCAGGAAUGCCUUCUCUUCGAGGAAGACGAUGUGUUGGUGGAAUCCGAAAUAAGCCAAGUAUUUCCUGAUCUACCAGCUAAUUCUUAUAACAAUAAAGCUGUAUAUCAAUCCCUUAUUGCCGACGCAAGCUGCGGCCGCAGAUCUCCAGAUAAACGUUGCACUCCAAAGCGCAAUAACCCUAAAAAACAUCAGCCUUGCGGCACAUACACUCGUAGAUGCUAAACCCCAGACAUCGAUGAUUUUCCAAGCAGAUAUAUUCCCUUUUCAGUGAAGUCAUGGCUAUUGCUUCAUGUUAUGACAAUGUUGCAGGCGUUGCUGCAAUUUCCAGGAGUUGUUUGGGGUAAAUUGUGAGCGGAGCCAAUACACUGAUCCCUUUGUUUGAAUGUGUCAGUGGUUGAAGCCCAACCAUUGGAGCUUGGCUCUGAGAUAGUUGAGAGUCAGGGAUGGCAAUAAGUGAUUAUGGAGUGAGACGACCUUGGUCUUAUUAAUGCUUUAAACGGAAAAGGAAAAGUCCCACGGGAGAUGGAUGUGUUAGUUGAUGGUAUUUGGGAAUAAAAAUGAACUUAGAAAAAUUAACAAAGGUUUUAGGGUGUGUAUUAAUGUCACUUUCUUUAAGAAUCUAUUCACCUCAAUUAUAUUUUGAAAUGUAAAAGAGUUGUCGACAAAUAAACCUCGAGGAUGCAAUGAAACUCAAUGAUUGUGUACAUUUUGCAUUGACGUAAAUAGUCCACUGAGCCCUAAGCGGAGCACAGCAAGGAUAUCGAUUUCUACAAAUAAUUUCUGCAGUAAUUUUUUAGAAAACAAUUUAAGAAUAUUAGGAGAUAGAGAAAAAUAAAAGAAACAUUUGAUAUGUUUCUAGUGUACCAGACGAAUGAAACUCUCAUGUAUUUCCAUAGGAACACAACUAUCUAAAUGGAUAUUCACGCAUCUUUUAGUAAUAAACGUAAUUAUUCAAUUA